CUUAGAAAAUAGAAACUAAUAAGGUGGGAAGUCGAAGUAGCGAUGUUACAGAUAAUAAAUUAAUGAGACGAAAAGCCGAAGAGACAUACAUUACGGAGAAGGAAUUAUGAGACGGAAAGCUAAAGAGCAGACGUUAUAGGAAAGGAAUUAAUGAGACGGAAAGCCGAAGAGGCAGACAUUACGAAAAAUGCGAGCGGUCGCAAUGAUUGGAGAGUAAAAAUUUUGAGGAGAUAAUAUGAUGCUGCCACGUGACAAAAGCUUAUGAGAAAUAAUGUAUGUGUAUAAUAAAUUCUACACGUGUCCUCUCCACUCUUCCACAUUCACAUCAAAAAAAAUUGCAU
rnacentral:lncRNA from 1 species